AGUGAACGCUGGCGGUAGGCCUAACACAUGCAAGUCGAACGGCAGCACAGUAAGAGCUUGCUCUUACGGGUGGCGAGUGGCGGACGGGUGAGGAAUACAUCUGAAUCUACUUUUUCGUGGGGGAUAACGUAGGGAAACUUACGCUAAUACCGCAUACGACCUACGGGUGAAAGCAGGGGAUCUUCGGACCUUGCGCGAUUGAAUGAGCCGAUGUCGGAUUAGCUAGUUGGCGGGGUAAAGGCCCACCAAGGCGACGAUCCGUAGCUGGUCUGAGAGGAUGAUCAGCCACACUGGAACUGAGACACGGUCCAGACUCCUACGGGAGGCAGCAGUGGGGAAUAUUGGACAAUGGGCGCAAGCCUGAUCCAGCCAUACCGCGUGGGUGAAGAAGGCCUUCGGGUUGUAAAGCCCUUUUGUUGGGAAAGAAAAGCAGCAGGUUAAUACCCCGCUGUUCUGACGGUACCCAAGGAAUAAGCACCGGCUAACUUCGUG
rnacentral:rRNA from 1 species